GACGAACGCUGGCGGCGUGCUUAACACAUGCAAGUCGAACGGAAAGGCCCAGCUUGCUGGGUGCUCGAGUGGCAAACGGGUGAGUAACACGUGGGUGAUCUGCCCCUAACUUCGGGAUAAGCUUGGGAAACUGGGUCUAAUACCGGAUAGGACAAUCGUUUAGUGUCGGUUGUGGAAAGUUUUUUCGGUUAGGGAUGAGCCCGCGGCCUAUCAGCUUGUUGGUGGGGUAAUGGCCUACCAAGGCGUCGACGGGUAGCCGGCCUGAGAGGGUGGACGGCCACAUUGGGACUGAGAUACGGCCCAGACUCCUACGGGAGGCAGCAGUGGGGAAUAUUGCACAAUGGGCGCAAGCCUGAUGCAGCGACGCCGCGUGGGGGAUGACGGCCUUCGGGUUGUAAACCUCUUUCGACAGGGACGAAGCUUUGGUGACGGUACCUGUAUAAGAAGCACCGGCUAACUACGUG
rnacentral:rRNA from 1 species